rnacentral:tRNA from 1 species
CGUCCUGUGGUCCACUGGUUAUGACCUCUGUUUUACACACAGAUGAAGGUGGUUCGAUUCCAUCCAGGACGACCU